rnacentral:misc_RNA from 1 species
GUAUUGGUUAAUUAGAAAAUCAAUAUUGGUUAAUUGUUAAAGCCUGUCCCAAUUACAUACAUACAUAAAAAAUAAAUGUAACUUCUAAUGAGGCAGGUCUGGUUAGGUUGAGCUUCAAAUAAAGAUAAGUUUCAAGCCCGACCAACUUUGGAAACAUGCUUUAACCAAUUUGCUCUUGGUUCAUCCAUGGGACAAAACUCCUUACCC